AUUGAACGCUGGCGGCAGGCCUAACACAUGCCAGUCGAGCGGAUGAAGGGAGCUUGCUCCUGGAUUCAGCGGCGGACGGGUGAGUAAUGCCUAGGAAUCUGCCUUGUAGUGGGGGCUAACGUCCGGAAACGGGCGCUAAUACCGCAUACGUCCUGAGGGAGAAAGUGGGGGAUCUUCGGACCUCACGCUAUCAGAUGAGCCUAGGUCGGAUUAGCUAGUUGGUGGGGUAAAGGCCUACCAAGGCGACGAUCCGUAACUGGUCUGAGAGGAUGAUCAGUCACACUGGAACUGAGACACGGUCCAGACUCCUACGGGAGGCAGCAGUGGGGAAUAUUGGACAAUGGGCGAAAGCCUGAUCCAGCCAUGCCGCGUGUGUGAAGAAGGUCUUCGGAUUGUAAAGCACUUUAAGUUGGGAGGAAGGGCAGUAAGUUAAUACCUUGCUGUUUUGACGUUACCAACAGAAUAAGCACCGGCUAACUUCGUG
rnacentral:rRNA from 1 species